AGAGUUUGAUCAUGGCUCAGGAUGAACGCUAGCUACAGGCUUAACACAUGCAAGUCGAGGGGAAACGACAUCGAAAGCUUGCUUUUGAUGAGCGUCGACCGGCGCACGGGUGAGUAACGCGUAUCCAACCUGCCCACCACUUGGGGAUAACCUUGACGAAAGUAAGACUAAUACCCAAUGAUAUCUCUAGAAGACAUCUGAAAGAGAUUAAAGAUUUAUCGGUGAUGGAUGGGGAUGCGUCUGAUUAGCUUGUUGGCGGGGUAACGGCCCACCAAGGCAACGAGUCGGUAGGGGUUCUGAGAGGAAGGUCCCCCACAUUGGAACUGAGACACGGUCCAAACUCCUACGGGAGGCAGCA
rnacentral:rRNA from 1 species